CAGAAAUCGUAAUUAAGUAAAUCUUAGUUUAGGUUUUUUUUUAUUUUUAUUUUUUUGUUUGUACGAAAUAGCUCUCUUUGGUGGUGGGAGGAGAGGAAGGAAUGCUUGUCACCUACUCUCCUUGUAGUUUCUACUUCUCUCUUCUCCUCUCCUUUGCUUCUUUAUAAGAUACCCAAAAGCUCUCCCUUUCUCUUUCUUCUCAUGGUGUUUUAGGGUUCGGUCUUUUGGAGGGAUGGAGAGGUACAAGUGCAGGUUCUGUUUCAAGAGCUUCGUCAAUGGCAGAGCUUUGGGUGGCCACAUGAGAUCCCACAUGCUCAGCCUUUCCGCCAGACGAGAGCGGUUCGAUGUCGAUGAAGAUGAGCGACCCAGUCCGCUCAGUGACGAGUCCGAGUCUGGUGGGUUGUUUCCGUCUUCUUCGGCUUCUUCUUCUUCGGCUUCUUCCGACGACGACGACGAUGAUGAUGGGCAUGUCGGAGAGUUUUACGGGUUGCGAGAGAACAGAAAGAGGAGCACUCUGGUUGCUGAUCCGGAUUUCGCUUUCCCCGUCGUUGAUCAUGGCUCUGUUCUCCUUCAAGACGGCGAAAGCGAGACCGAGUCGUCCAGGAUUAACCCGACUCGGAGACGAUCCAAGCGGACCCGGAAACUCGGAGGGUUAGAUGUUGACCACAGCCGCGGACAGGACAACGUGAAGAAGCCGAGGACGAGUCAACUCGGUUUCAGGACGGAGCCGGAGCAUCUAAGCUCGGCUUCCGACACGACGACGGAGGAAGAUCUCGCCUUUUGUCUUAUGAUGCUGUCGAGGGACAAGUGGAAGCAGAAGAGCAAGUCGAGAGAGGUACAAGAUCAAGAUAACAAUGAUCACGGAGAAGAAGAGAACGACAUGGAUGAGUCCCAAGGUUACAGAGAAAGCAAGAACAGAGCAAGAGGCAAAUACAAGUGCGACACUUGCGAUAAAGUGUUCAAAUCGUAUCAGGCACUGGGUGGACACAGGGCGAGCCACAAGAAGAACAGGGUCUGCAGAACAGAGCAUCCACGACGUGCGACAGAGUACGAGGUUGGAAAUGCGGUUGCAGAGAAGAAAAUCCACGAAUGCCCGAUCUGUCUUAGGGUUUUCCCGUCGGGACAAGCUCUGGGAGGUCACAAGAGAUCCCACGGAAUCGUCAGUUCGAAUCAAAAUCACGUUCUUCGAGUCGAUAAAGAUGCCUCCCUGACGAAUCGGAGGUUUAUUGAUCUGAACCUUCCUGCGCCGACCGAAGAUGAUGAAACCAGCCAAGCCGAAGUCUCUGUUGUGUUCGAUGAAUGCUGAGAAAAGAAACACCCAUUUGUUGGAUUACAACCAGAGUUAGCAGAAAAUGGAAUCUGUAGCCACUGACAUGCACAAGAAGAGAGAAGAAGAGCCACUCGUACGGCAUCCUGAGGCUGACACCAACUUCCAGUACUCGUAUCUGAAACGUGUCUUUUCUUCCUCACUGGUCUCCCUUUGAUUACACAGCUUGAUUACUGUACACAAACAUGAACAUUAGAAGUGGCAUUUCGAUGAGCCAACGUAUCUACCACGGUAUGAUUUAGAUGGGCAGCACCCACUAUUCGUUACACCGAAAAGCAAAUAUUUAUGCAAGUAUUAUUAUCAUUAUUAGUGGAUAAAUAAAUGGGAUGGUAAUAUUAGUUGACUUUUUCUUGUAAUCUUUUGUUUGGGUUGGCAUCAUUAAAAGCAUUCGAGAUAGAGAGAGAGAGAGAGAGAGAGAGAGAGAGAGAGAGAGAGAGAUGGAUGGUGUGUGGUUUAGCAAAGAAGCAAAAGAUGUCUGGUUAGGCGUGACAAAAGUGCCUCUCUGACUCGAUGCACCAACAGAGAGAGAGAGAGGGAGAGAU